rnacentral:rRNA from 1 species
GACGAACGCUGGCGGCGUGCUUAACACAUGCAAGUCGAACGGAAAGGCCCUGCUUUUGUGGGGUGCUCGAGUGGCGAACGGGUGAGUAACACGUGAGUAACCUGCCCUUGACUUUGGGAUAACUUCAGGAAACUGGGGCUAUUACCGGAUAGGAGCUCCUGCUGCAUGGUGUGGGUUGGUAAGUUUCGGCGGUUGGGGAUGGACUCGCGGCUUAUCAGCUUGUUGGUGGGGUAGUGGCUUACCAAGGCUUUGACGGGUAGCCGGCCUGAGAGGCGGACCGGCCACAUUGGGACUGAGAUACGGACCAGACUGCUACGGGAGGCAGCAGUGGGGAAUAUUGCACAAUGGGCGGAAGCCUGAUGCAGCGACGCCGCGUGCGGGAUGACGGCCUUCGGGUUGUAAACCGAUUUCGCCUGUGACGAAGCGUGAGUGACGGUAAUGGGUAAAGAAGCACCGGCUAACUACGUG